CACGUGCAGCCCCAACAUGUGCCACACCAAACCAGGUGGCCUUUAUAGUAUUGUGAUCCUGCUCCAAGAUGAAUUUCUCCCGCAGGAAAAUAUUUUGGGAGAAAUCCUGAUGAGUUAAGCCCCCCUCUAUACCACCCAUUUUUACAUUUCAUUUAAAAAUUAUAUGAAAAUAUGACGUGAACUAUUAGUUAUGGAGGAUAUAAAGUUGGAUGUUGCUUGUAUUAACAAGAAAAACUAUGCACCUCAUUGUGUUCUCCAAGGGAGCAUAAAACAAGGAGAGGAAGUGAGAAGAAAGAAACUGAAAGAGUAAAUGCUGCUUAAAGAAGCCACACUCCCUUGCCUUCAGUCUCAUUUAGCUUCCACCUAGCCUAGGGGAUAAAACUGCUGCUGUGGAUACCCAAGAGACCCUGGCUAGGGUUAUAAUAUUCAAACCAAAUACAGGCAGCAGAUACUUUAACUCCAGGUCAGGAUUCUUUAACAACUGACAUCUUGAGGCAACACUGGUUCUCUGAGAAAGUGAAAGUUUUUGCUGGCUGGAUCAGGAAAAGGAAGUGAUGCCUGGAAAUGGAGUAGCCAUCUAAGGGAUGAUAUCAAAAGCCACAUGCUGAGCAUUGUGAAGGGAAGAGGUUGAAGGAGCAGCAAGCAGUUGCACUAGUCCUGGACUUGUGAGUUACGGAUUUCUUGUGA